CGUGUAGGCGGCCAGAUAGGUCCGUUGUGAAAACUGGAGGCUUAACCUCCAGCCGUCGAUGGAAACCAUCUGGCUAGAGUCCGGAAGAGGAGAGUGGAAUUCCUGGUGUAGCGGUGAAAUGCGCAGAUAUCAGGAAGAACACCCGUGGCGAAGGCGGCUCUCUGGGACGGUACUGACGCUGAGACGCGAAAGCGUGGGGAGCGAACA
rnacentral:rRNA from 1 species